AUUGAACGCUGGCGGCAGGCCUAACACAUGUAAGUCGAGCGGAUGAAGGGAGCUUGCUCCUGGAUUCAGCGGCGGACGGGUGAGUAAUGCCUAGGAAUCUGCCUGGUAGUGGGGGAUAACGUCCGGAAACGGGCGCUAAUACCGCAUACGUCCUGAGGGAGAAAGUGGGGGAUCUUCGGACCUCACGCUAUCAGAUGAGCCUAGGUCGGAUUAGCUAGUUGGUGGGGUAAAGGCCUACCAAGGCGACGAUCCGUAACUGGUCUGAGAGGAUGAUCAGUCACACUGGAACUGAGACACGGUCCAGACUCCUAAGGGAGGCAGCAGUGGGGAAUAUUGGACAAUGGGCGAAAGCCUGAUCCAGCCAUGCCGCGUGUGUGAAGAAGGUCUUCGGAUUGUAAAGCACUUUAAGUUGGGAGGAAGGGCAGUAAGUUAAUACCUUGCUGUUUUGACGUUACCAACAGAAUAAGCACCGGCUAACUUCGUG
rnacentral:rRNA from 1 species